GCUUUAAAAGCUUUUAGAAGCAUCGGUCUUGUAAAUCGAAGAACGAAACAAUUUCGUUAAAGCU
rnacentral:tRNA from 1 species